AACGAACGCUGGCGGCAUGCCUAACACAUGCAAGUCGAACGAGACCUUCGGGUCUAGUGGCGCACGGGUGCGUAACGCGUGGGAACCUGCCCUUAGGUUCGGAAUAACUCCUCGAAAGGGGUGCUAAUACCGGAUAAUGUCUUCGGACCAAAGAUUUAUCGCCUUUGGAUGGGCCCGCGUUGGAUUAGCUAGUUGGUAGGGUAAAAGCCUACCAAGGCGACGAUCCAUAGCUGGUCUGAGAGGAUGAUCAGCCACACUGAGGCUGAGACGCGGCCCAGACUCCUACGGGAGGGAGCAGUGGGGGAUAUUGGACAAUGGGCGGAGGGCUGAUCCAGCUAUGCCGCGUGAGUGAUGAAGGCCUUAAGGUAGUAAAGCUCUUUUACCCGGGAUGAUAAUGACGGUACCGAGAGAAUAAGCACCGGCUAACUCCGUG
rnacentral:rRNA from 1 species